UUGAACGCUGGCGGCAGGCCUAACACAUGCAAGUCGAACGGUAACAGGAAGAAGCUUGCUUCUUUGCUGACGAGUGGCGGACGGGUGAGUAAUGUCUGGGAAACUGCCUGAUGGAGGGGGAUAACUACUGGAAACGGUAGCUAAUACCGCAUAACGUCGCAAGACCAAAGAGGGGGACCUUCGGGCCUCUUGCCAUCGGAUGUGCCCAGAUGGGAUUAGCUUGUUGGUGGGGUAACGGCUCACCAAGGCGACGAUCCCUAGCUGGUCUGAGAGGAUGACCAGCCACACUGGAACUGAGACACGGUCCAGACUCCUACGGGAGGCAGCAGUGGGGAAUAUUGCACAAUGGGCGCAAGCCUGAUGCAGCCAUGCCGCGUGUAUGAAGAAGGCCUUCGGGUUGUAAAGUACUUUCAGCGGGGAGGAAGGGAGUAAAGUUAAUACCUUUACUCAUUGACGUUACCCGCAGAAGAAGCACCGGCUAACUCCGUGCCAGCAGCCGCGGUAAUACGGAGGGUGCAAGCGUUAAUCGGAAUUACUGGGCGUAAAGCGCACGCAGGCGGUUUGUUAAGUCAGAUGUGAAAUCCCCGGGCUCAACCUGGGAACUGCAUCUGAUACUGGCAAGCUUGAGUCUCGUAGAGGGGGGUAGAAUUCCAGGUGUAGCGGUGAAAUGCGUAGAGAUCUGGAGGAAUACCGGUGGCGAAGGCGGCCCCCUGGACGAAGACUGACGCUCAGGUGCGAAAGCGUGGGGAGCAAACAGGAUUAGAUACCCUGGUAGUCCACGCCGUAAACGAUGUCGACUUGGAGGUUGUGCCCUUGAGGCGUGGCUUCCGGAGCUAACGCGUUAAGUCGACCGCCUGGGGAGUACGGCCGCAAGGUUAAAACUCAAAUGAAUUGACGGGGGCCCGCACAAGCGGUGGAGCAUGUGGUUUAAUUCGAUGCAACGCGAAGAACCUUACCUGGUCUUGACAUCCACAGAACUUUCCAGAGAUGGAUUGGUGCCUUCGGGAACUGUGAGACAGGUGCUGCAUGGCUGUCGUCAGCUCGUGUUGUGAAAUGUUGGGUUAAGUCCCGCAACGAGCGCAACCCUUAUCCUUUGUUGCCAGCGGUCCGGCCGGGAACUCAAAGGAGACUGCCAGUGAUAAACUGGAGGAAGGUGGGGAUGACGUCAAAUCAUCAUGCCCUUUAUGUCCUGGGCUACACACGUACUACAAUGGCUGUAACAGAGGGAAGCGAACCAGUGAUGGUAAGCGAAACCCGAAAAGCAGUCACAGUUCGGAUUGAAGGCUGAAACUCGCCUUCAUGAAGCCGGAAUUGCUAGUAAUGGCAGGUCAGCAUACUGCCGUGAAUACGUUCCCGGGCCUUGUACACACCGCCCGUCACACCAUGAGAGUUGGGGAUACCCGAAGCCUGUGAGCCAACAGUUAAAUGGGGCAGCAGUCGAAGGUAGAAUCAAUGAUUGGGGUG
rnacentral:rRNA from 1 species